rnacentral:rRNA from 1 species
UACGGAGGGGGCAAGCGUUGUUCGGAAUUACUGGGCGUAAAGGGCGCGCAGGCGGCUGCUCAAGUCAGGCGUGAAAGGCCUGGGCUCAACCCGGGAAUUGCGCUUGAGACUGGGCUGGCUUGAGUGCGGGAGAGGAUGGUGGAAUUCCCAGUGUAGAGGUGAAAUUCGUAGAUAUUGGGAAGAACACCGGUGGCGAAGGCGGCCAUCUGGACCGCAACUGACGCUGAGGUGCGAAAUCGUGGGGAGCAAACAGG